UUCAAAACUUUCAACAACGGAUCUCUUGGUUCUCGCAUCGAUGAAGAACGCAGCGAACUGCGAUAAGUAAUAUGAAUUGCAGAUUUUCGUGAAUCAUCGAAUCUUUGAACGCACAUUGCGCCCUCUGGUAUUCCAGAGGGCAUGCCUGUUUGAGCGUCAUUUCUCUCUCAAACCUUCGGGUUUGGUAUUGAGUGAUACUCUUAGUCGAACUAGGCGUUUGCUUGAAAUGUAUUGGCAUGAGUGGUACUGGAUAGUGCUAUAUGACUUUCAAUGUAUUAGGUUUAUCCAACUCGUUGAAUAGUUUAAUGGUAUAUUUCUCGGUAUUCUAGGCUCGGCCUUACAAUAUAACAAACAAGUUUGACCUCAAAUCAGGUAGGAUUACCCGCUGAACUUAAGCAUAUCAAUAAGCGGAGGAAA
rnacentral:rRNA from 1 species